GCAAGUCGAGGGGUAACGGGGAAGCUUGCUUCCGCCGACGACCGGCGCACGGGUGCGCACCGCGUAUGGAACCUACCUUUUACAGGGGAAUAGCCCAGGGAAACUUGGAUUAAUGCCCCGUAGUACCGUCUAACAGCAUUGUUUAACGGUUAAAGCCUUCGGGCGGUAAAAGAUGGCCAUGCGUCCCAUUAGUUCGUUGGUAAGGUAACGGCUUACCAAGACUACGAUGGGUAGGGGCCCUGAGAGGGGGAUC
rnacentral:rRNA from 1 species